GCUUCUGUGGCCUAGUGGUCAAAACGUCCGCUUCGGAUGCAGGAGGUCGCGGGUUCGAACCUCGACAGAGUCA